CAUCCCUCCGCAGCCUGCUGAUUUUGCAAAAGAGGGGGCAAAGGAUCAUUUUGCAGUCCAGAUGCUGCCAAACACAAGCAAUCAGUGGAAGGAAUGGCACAAUGAGCAGGCAAGCAUGGGGAAGCAGCUUACGAAGAAAUAGUUAAAUGCCGAGCUUUGUCCCGGCUGAUGCCGCGAUGACAAUUCCUACAUAAAUCACCACUUCUGACCAGCUGCCAUGAUGGUUUUUUGUAACAGCAGUGCCAGCCCCAGCCUGCCGUUAUCCUCUGGCAGCACCUUGCAUUUCUCCUACUCUCCAGGCCACAGACACACUGCUAAAUACGAGAACUCCUGAACUGAUGUUAAGAAGUAUCUUCUAGCAGGUGUGAUGGAGAAGACAUGUCAGAUUUUGGGCUUCACUAAUACUCUUCCAACUGUGCCUGCUUCCAAAAAAAAAAAGGAAGACAAAGCAGAAACAGCAGCUUCCAGAAUUCCACGCCUUUUCUAGAAGAUAAAUAGAAAUCAAUUGCACGAGAAUAUAGCCUGAAUUCCGGCUAUAUUAAAGAAACUGAACAAGACCUCCUUGCUUUCUGAGAUCUGUUGUUGAUUAUAAGAGAAUGAACUUCUGUGAACAAUUAAGCAAGUGGCUUUAAAAGAAAACUGGAGAAGUAGCAAAUGGUGAUGCACAGAGACAUCUUAGGCAGAAAAGGGAUGGAGUGAAUACUGAAUUGACUUUCAUAUGCUUGGGCUUUCUGGUGUCCACUGAAGAGAUGAUAAGCAAAAAGGAUUAAAAAAUAACUUUCUAAUUUAUAAAUCCAAUAUCUGCUUCAUGUUCCUAUCAAGAAGAUAUCAAAGAAAAAGAGACAAUGGAGGUCAAGGAUAAGAACAGGUAAAAAAACACCAACCAAGCAAAAAAAAUCUCCUGAAAAAAUUUACUGUUAGGCUGGCAUGUUCUUGCUCAAACAUCCAUGGUCAGUAAUUUAAAGAAGUCUGAAAGUUGGCUAGUGUUUGUACGGAAUUGCUAUUUUUAAAGGUGAAAUUAAUUUCUUAAAUUACAAAAUAUUAUAUAGGUGCCAGGUUCUGCUGCAUUUACUUAUGAAUUGUCUCCAUGAAAUUUAUGAGAAUUGCAUGAAAAAAUUCCUGAGAUUAAAGGGUUCAUAGUCUAACUUUCACUUUACAGUCUCCAUUCACUAUAGCACUUUUUGUAAACUAGUGAAAGUUUCCUUCCUGUGCUUGCCUAACUCUGAAUUCAACAUAUUGUUUCACUGCAAUGAAUGUAUAAUCUUGCUAACAGCUAAAAUGCAAAGUAAGUUAUUUGGUGUCUAAACAAAGUUAAUGAGAUAAGUGUUUACUUGUUGUAAGUUACAAAACAUAAAGUUUUAAUUAGAAAUGUUCUUAUUUGCUGCCAGUGGGCCUGCAGGAAGAAGACAGCCUUGCAAUUUGCAGAAUCCCCCUUGAUGUGCAGUUCUUUAAUGUACAGCCUCCACUUUUUCCUGUGUGUUAAGAAUGUGGGCUUUGCAUUGUGUUAGACUAUGAUUGUUAGCAACAGUUGACUACUCUUUCAGGUCUGUUCCACUGGCUCCCUGGGUAAUUCCGUGAAAAUUCAUGGAAGUUCUAUAUUUCCAUUGCCAGGUGACUGUGGGAUAGAAAUCCUGGGGGUUCGAAUCUCUCUCUUUUUUUGUAGGUUAGUUAACUAGUCCCUUCUAAUGUAAAUCUUAUACAUCUGGACACCUCUGAGGAUUUUUCACUUCUCUGUGUUUACCCAGAAGAGGAUGACCUGUGUGCUUUCUUCCCCUUUUCCUCCCUUCCUCUUACUAGCUUUACAUGUGAUCAUGUUUCUUCUUUUGUGCCACCUGUCCUUCUGUUUUCUGAAGCAUAAAUUGUAGCUUGUAUUUCUCUAUGGAAUUGUGUUAUGAGUGAGACAGAACUGAUACAGAGCUGGAAAAGAGCUGGGAUUAUCUGGAAGGAUAUUGCUGGAUAUCAUCCACUAUCUGAUGAAGAGACAAUUGCAGAAGUGCUUGAAGUUGUGGUUUUUCACAAUUAUUAAAACUAUUUGUCUUGUAUUUCCCUCUAUUUUAUAUUCUAGUUUUCUCAAAAUACAAAGGACUCUGUUGACUGGUGUCUAGAAAAUGGUAUGAAACUUUGCAGCAUGAUUAGAUGUAGUAUUCAGCAUUACUGAAUCUACAGGAAUCAGUGAAUACCACUCAAAAUGUUUAAUGCAUGUGUAAUCUGGACUAUUUUAGUUAGAGUUGAUUUUCCUCAGUGGAAAGAUAGUAGCUUCAUUAUCUCUGAGAUUAAAAUAGGAAAAUAUCUUAAGGUAGUAUGGGAAAACCCCAGCUUUGAUAACCUGGUGAAUCUGUCUCCUAAACAGAGGAAAAAAACCUAGGCCUGCAUUAAUGAAUGUGUUUAGGAGCCUAUAUGAGGUCCUGAAACCAAUUUACAAAUUUAGGCUCUGCUCUUUUGAUGUUUCAAGGUUAAAGCGGAUGUUCUGAAUCCGGCUGCUUUAUUGGCACCAAAGGCCUAAAGAAAAUACCACCAGAAAUUUAACAUAUUGCUCAUUAAAAAAUGUAUGCCAACAGCAGCUCUUGCAACACUGUCGUCCCUCCUAUUGCAAUCCCUAAAGAGCAAUUGAGGAGUUUAUUUUUAUCAUUUGGUUUAAUCUUUUACAUAAUUUGAAAUGUCAAAUAUUUUGUAGUGGUAUUUUGUUAUUUGUACCAUCUGGAAUCAAAACCUCUGUGAUUCUCAGCAAUUCAAAUUUGUGGAGUAACGGUUACUGUUCUAUAGUUGACUUGUCUCCUCAAGGACUUAGCUUAAAGUAGUAUUUUCUUAAAGGUGGAUCAAAGAAGAAAUUUUACUUCAGCAUUUGAGAUUUUGAAACUUGUAAUUUAUUUCUGCCUUCUUGCUUUGCUCCUUAUUUGCAAAGAAUAAAGUGAAACAACUUUUA